GGGGGUGAAGCAGAGAUUCUUGCAAAGCUCAGCGGGACAUUAAGCGGGUUGCGCUUCCUUGCAAAGACAAAGAUCAAUCUGGAGAACAAACAGGGUGAUUUUGUCAAAGUGAAAAAUGCUUGUCUCAGAUGGCUGUGUAAAAAUGAUCCUUCACAGAGAAAUCCAGAGAGUUUAAAAAAAAAAAAAAAAAAAAAAACCCCCCCCCCCCCCCCCCCCCCCCCCCCCCCCCCCCCCCCCCCCCCCCCCCCCCCCCCCCCCCCCCCCCCCCCCCCCCCCCCCCCCCCCCCCCCCCC
rnacentral:lncRNA from 1 species